GCAAGCUCGCGUGAAGGUGAUGACCGGAGCAGAAGAUACUGGGUGCUCAGCCCAAGAAAAAACCAUAAGGCAACCACUCGGGCAACAUAUUAGCUAACCCUGUGGCGCCUGCCUUGGUCCAUUAACGAUCAUCCUCCUGGAUUGCUUGAACACAGCGUGGAACAGAUGGUCGCUAUCCAUUGAAGCAGACCCAGCCCUGCAUCGAAAAUGCAGCCAUUACGGUGUUUCGAGAGCCUAGUUUGGACUCGUGUACACAUGUUUACCUGACUUUGAUCCCAUGUAGAAAACUAUAAACUCAUCCUAUUCAUCUUUUUUAGAAGAACUCAUCCUAAUCAUCUUGGAGAACUAGCGGCAAAAAAACCCAGAGAAUUCAAGUUUUUUUAAGCAAAUCAAAGUUUAACUGUUUAAGUAGGGUUACCAAUUAUAUGGCUGUGAUUUGGAUGGUGCACUGGAUUAUAAUACAUCCAAAUUAUAAUGGGCUUUGAGUUUGCAAUGGUUCAUAGAGAUCCAAAAGUAUUACAUGAGAUAUCCCAUGGUGCAUGCUCUUUACGGAUGAUGUGGUGCUAGUGAUAGUCGGACAGGGGUUAAUAGAAAGUUAGAGUUAUGGAGAGGAAUCGAAAGGUUUCAGGCCUAGUAGAACUACAACCGAGCACAUGAGGUGUGGUUUCAGUAAUACUAGACACGAGGAGGAGGAGCUUAACCUUGAUGGGCAUGUGGUACGCUGUAACAUGCCAAAUUUUCAGAUUUGCAAUGUUAAAAGGAUUGAUUUAAUAUUGCUUGUGUUGUUUGCUCCUUGCUCAAUUUGAGUACGAUUUGAAACUUUUGGAGUUUAUUCGAUAUUGAGAUGAGAGGGAAUGAAAGAACUUUCCCAAUUUUUCAUAUUUGGAUUUUAUAUUGGAUAUUUCUCACGAGUUCAAAAAUAUUUUAUGGAACAUUACUAGAGCCAAAAAAAGUUUUUAUAAAAAAUGUUAUGUUUUUAUUUUGUAUUUGAUCUGAAAAAACCAUUCUCUACAAUUGUAGUGAUAUUUUUAUGUGUGUACUUGUACUUUGUUUUUGGAAGUUUGCUGAUAUUUUAUUUUAGAAAAACCAUUUUCUGUGUAAAAGUAAUUUUAUCUAGGAAAUACUGUUCAUUUGGGCUAUACAUCGCACUAGAACAGCAGCACCACAUCGACAACAGGCUGGCCCAUUUUGGCGCAGCAAGUAGCCCAGCACUGCAGCCCUCCCUUCCUUCUAUUUUUCUCUCUCCUCUACCGCUGACUACCUGGACCCACCAUGUCAUCCCCUUUUUGUUCGUGUUCUGCCUGGAGACCGCUCCCGAUCCGAACUCGAUCGAUUCCCCCUCGACCACGGGAUCCUCCUAUAAGUAUUUCACCUCCUCCUUCGAUUUUUGCCAAAAAUCGCAGCUCCCGUGCCCGUCUCGUCCUGAUUCUAAUCUCGCCGGAGUUCAGCUGACAGAAGCUCCUUCGCCGCUGAUUUCUUCACCACCGAGGGUCCUCGUCAUCUCCUUAGUCCUCUGUCUCGAUCGCCAUGACCUCCCUUAUCUUACUAUCUCUUCUUUUGCGCAUAGACGCCAUGGAACGAAUAAAUCAAGCUCGACCCGUUGGACUAAGUCUCUAGAUAUAGAUACAACAUAAGUUCAACACAUAUCACACGUUAAUCCUCGCUGCAUCUAACGGUUGAGAGCACUCUCAAGGGAAGUGAAGCAAGAACAAAACCCUAGGCAUGCUGGUGUGGCUUCUAUUUGUGAGCGUGAAAGAGAACACAUAAGAGAAAACAUAACCUAUGAGAGAGUGGAAGAAGAAGUGGAGGUUAUGUCCAGAUUUGUUGCAUCUGGCUAGAUAGUGUUCAACCUGAUGAUUGGAGGCUCAAACAUGCUUGGAUCGACCCUAAAUUUGGUGAUCUCGUUCCUUACUUUGAGUUCUUCGAUUUGGUUAGCUGGUUUAAGGACUCGGUCAGUGGAGCAUCAGAUUUCAGAGUGAUUUUGUUAGCUCUCACUGCUGCAGUUUCAGGACAGAGUAGUUUUGAGAGACGAACAGUUUGGGUAUGCAAACAGUAUUUGAUUGAACUGAAAUUUUGAGGGGAUCCCGGGAACUCGUGUGUCUACUUGUCUGCCAAAUUUGGCGUUGUUUGGUUCAGUAGUUUAAAAGAAGUUUGCAGAAUACUGAAAGAGACAGAAGCCGUGUGUACUGUGCUUUGUUGAAAUCUUGCCUUUUGUGGUUGUUGUUGCUCUUGCCGGUUGGCAAUGUGGAGAGUGUGUUGUAAAUCUCUCUACAGGUUCUAGAGAAGACUUGUACUUAUAAUUCUCAUAGUGAAGUUGUGUGGACCGUCCGCAGCCGUGGUUUUUACUCCUAAAGUUGAGGAGUUUUUCCACGUUAAAUCAUGUGGCACAUGUGCAUUUUGUUUAUGUUAAUUCUCUGCUUACUUGUUGGUUGAAGCUGUCCCCAAAGUUCAUCAUAAUUGGAGGGGGUUGUGUAGUGUGCAUAUUUGUCAUGUCGAUGAAUUUGUGCAGCGCAUUGUUGUUGUCCAGCCCCAAAAAGUGGUGUCAGUCUUGGUUUGCUUGUGCAAAUUGCUGAGUUUCAUGUGAUGAAUAUGAGUAGGAUGAUAUCUUUGAAUGGUACAAAUUACCAAGCAUGGAAGGGAAAGAUGGAGGACUUGUUAUAUGUGAAAGAAUAUUAGAAGCCAGUGUUCUCCACUCAGAUGCCGAAAGGCAUUGAGAAAGGUACUUCAUCGCCAAGCUUGUGGGUUUAUUUGGCAAUGGGUCGAUGACAAUGUUUUGAAUGAUAUCAUUAAUGAGAUACAUGCACACACCUUAUGACAGAAAAUUGGAAGAGUUGUUUGCCUAAAAUGAAGGUACAAACAAAUGUUCUUGAUCAAACAAUUGAUGUGUUUAAGGUACAAAGAGGGCAUUCUAAUUGCAGAUCAUGUGAAUACAUUCCAAGGCAUUAUAAAUCAACUUUCUUCAAAGGGAAUAACAUUUGAAGAUGAAGUGAGAGCCUUGCUGCUACUAGACUCAUUACUGGACAACUGUGAGACCUUUAAGGUCAUGGUUUCAAUUCAGCACCUAAUGGAGUUGUCACUUGAAAUCUUGUGAAAACGAGGGUACUAAAUGAAGAAUCCAGAAAGGUGGGCGAAGCUAGUUCUUCCUCACAUUCAGAGGCGUUGGUCACUCAGUCCAUGGAAAGAAGCAAGAGCAGAGGUCCAGGUAAAGGGCGGAAAGAUGUAGGAGCAAAUCAAGAGGCAAGUAUGCGGAUUAUGAGUGAUAUUACUGCCAUCAGAAUGGCCACAUUAAGUGACAAUAUGACAAGUGGAAGAAAGACAAAAAGAAAAAAAAAGAUCAGAAGAAGGCUGACAGUGAUAGUGACAUAGAGGGCAGCCGAGUUACUGCAGUAGAAGAGGACAUCAUGCUUGUUAUGCAUGAAGAAAACGAGGGCAGAUUUGGUUCCACUGUUGAGGAGAGGAUCACUAUUGUUUCUGAUGAAACCGUCAACCUUGUGGAUGGUGAUGAGAUGAUUUAGAUACCGGAUAGCGGUGCUACCAUUCAUGUUACAUCUCAUAGAGAGCUCUUCACUAACCAUAUAUCUGGUGAUUUUGGUGUUGUGAAGAUGGGAACAAUCAUAGGGCAGCCAUCAUUGGAAAAGGAGAUGUGCAUUUGGAAACCGCAAAUGAUACAAGGUUAGUCCUCAUGUGUGUGAGGCAUGUUGAGGCACUUCAUCUCAACAUUAUCUCAGUUGGUUUGCUUGAUGGAGAUGAUUAUUUUGGCAGUUUUGGAAAAGGGCAAUAUAAGCUCACCAAAGACAACAUGAUUGUUGCAAGAGAUAAAAUAGUCUCAGUUUUGUAUCAUGUGAUAGUAAGCUCUUUACAGCUUCUGUCAAUUUAAUAGAGAAGGAUGAUCAUUGUGCUCUAUGGCACAAGGGACUUGGGCACAUGAGUUAGAAGGGGAUGACAGUGCUAGUGAAGAAAAAAAAGUUGAAGGGUGUGAAAGAAGUUCACAUCAAGAAAUGUUCAGAUUGUCUAGCAGGGAAGCAACACAGAGUUGACUUCAAGACUCUACCUCCUCACAAGAAGCCUGAGAAGAUGGACUUGAUACCUUUUGAUAUUUGCAAAAUGUUGGUCAGAUCUCUUGGUGGUGCUAAGUACUUUGUGAUUUUUAUUGAUGACUUUUUCAGGAAAGUUUGGGCCUUCGUUUUGAGGACCAAAGAUCAAGUACUAGAUGUAUUCAAGCAAUUUCAAGCCUCAGUUGAGAGAGAAACUGAGAAGAAGAUCAAGUGCAUUCGCACUGAUAAUGGAGGAGAGUAUAUUGGGUCAUUUGAUGCAUAUUGUAAGCAGCAAGGUAUUAAGCAUCAAUUCACUCCCUCGAAGACACCACAGCUGAAUGGUCUUGGUGAGAGGAUGAACAAGACAAUUGUGGAGAGAGUUAGAUGCUUGCUAUCAAGUGCAAAGCUAUGUAAACAUUUUUGGGUUGAGGCUUUGAUGAAUGCAAUUUAUCCUAUUAAUCUCUCACCAAGUUAUCAUUUGCAGGGUGUCGGGGUGAUUUCUCUACUUCGAUCUAUGGGACCAGCAAGGCCCCUUUGCUACGAAUAUGCGGGGACUAUGGGUGCACGAAGAGCAUCAUCGACGGCUGCAUGCACGGUGGUUUAGACAGGUUCGGGCCGCUCAGAAGUGUAAAACCCUACGUCAUGUGCUCUGGUGGAUUAUGUGGGUGUUCACAGUACAGGUGCGCUCGCCGGCAAGGAUGAUCAAGGGCAGGAGCUACGCAUAUAGAAUGAACAGAGAGUCGACAUUUCUAAAGGUAGCCCUGGACCUCCUUUUAUAGUCCAAGGGGUUACCACAGUGGCUAAAAAAAUCUUUUGGUUGGAGAAUAAUCCACACAAUAGCUGCCAAAACUACUGACAAAAGCUAUAGUAGGAAAUACUAUUAGAUGGACGCAACCAGGCACAUUAAAUGCGUCAUGAGGUGGCGCACUGGCGACGUUCCCCGACAAGGAUUGUCUCUCCUUCUGUGUCGUUCGCCCAUCCACCUUUUAUUUAUUUGACACGCCGUAGGACGGGUGUCAUUAAAGCUACUACAUGUCUCUGACUGUUGCUAGAGGCCUCUGACUAGGUCCACCUAACUGCCCGUCUGCUCGACACCUCACUCAUGUUGACAAUCAGCGUGGUGAGGUGGAGCGGGCGGAGAUGCGGAGGGGUCCUGCCGGGCGCGAUGGCUGCCAGGUCUGCCGGGGCCUUGUUUAUGGUCUUCGCUUGUUGUUGCUUGAAGGUUAAUGUUGCCCGGUAGGGUCUUGCCGGCCUCGAGGCCGCGACUACCUGUGUACAAGUCUGGGUACUAAAGCCCCCAUAUUUUAAUACACCGACAGUAGCCCCCGGGCCUGGGCCACACUUGUGUGUCUGAUGUUUGUUGGUCUAGGCCCAAAAAACAGUACACACGCACACGCGAUCGCAAUUGCCUGCGGUUAUGAUGAUUUUUAGUGCUUUCCCACGACGCGUAUUGACUGCGGGUCAUGGGAGUGGUUGAGCGAGGCGGUUGUUUCGAGGAGUCCUCAUCGUUCACGGAGGUCCAUAAGUUGAAACCCGUCCAGAAGGAUGCUUGGAGUGCCCUUGCUCCAGACGACGCUAAGCUGGAGAUCGCCAUCACCCGAAUGCUCCGGCUGAGGGCUGCUGGGCUCACCAUAGAGAUGGCGGGCUCUGAUUUCCUCGUCAGGCGCAUUGCCCCUCUCCAGGAUAGGGCAUUACGCAUGGGAGUUUGUUGGUCAUGUCGAUGUCAUGCGAGUAAGCCCCGGGCGACGGCGACCUGACCUUCCUGUAGCUGGUCUCCCUCCGCCACCAGCUCUUCCACCCAGACGUCAAGUUCAUACUCCCGCCGUCCAUCAUCCUGCUCUGCAACAACUCCCUCAAAGAUGCGAUAGUAGCGAUGAUGCCGGCCUGCAACGUGCACGGGGUGGAUCCCAUGUGGCGGGCCCCGACAAAGGAGGUGGUGCAGGCGUGGUUCGACGACCUGACGGAGGCGUGCGUCAGGGAUGAAGGGUCGAUGAUACUCGCCACCAUCGAAGGGACUGAGAUCCAGUGACUUGUCUUCAGCAAGUCACGUUGUAACUGGCUCCCUCUUAUCAGCCCUCCAAACAACAUCUGACGGACAGGAGUGACCCAAAGCAAAAAAAGGCCUCCACACUACACCUGGGCAUCCAUCCAACACAGCUAAACAAAGAAAAUGCUUCAGCCUUGGCCGUUCAGUCACUAGAUAGUACAAUCAACAGUUUUCAGUCAGCUAACAAUACAAAUGUAAUAGUACUAACAGCUUAUAUAUGUACUGAAUAAAAGAAUAUGGUAUGGUAGAGAUAAGAGAACAGUUUUUUUUGCAGAGAUAAGCUACAGUUCCUUUUUUGCAGAGAAUGAAUCAAAAAGUUAGUAGAGAUAAGCUACAUUUUUUGUAGAAAUAAACUACAGUUUUUUGCAGAGAAUGAAUCUGAUGAUGUAGAAAUAAACUUGCAUGCCCAGAGUUACUUCAGCAUGUAUGAUUUAGCUUCAUUUUUUGCACUCUCGAAGAGGAGGAGGGGGAGGAGGAGGUGGAAGACAUUGUGGGCUUGGGUGCUAGUGUCGCGGCCCGCUCGUUCUCUGUCUCCCGUGUCCUUGGCAUCACAUCGUUGGUCGUCGUAUUUUGGCUUUUUUUCUACCUCAGGAAGUGCAACGCAGCCUCAAGACGGAGAAGCUCACAGUUAUAGUGGACGAAGAUGCACAUCACGCUCCCAGCGCCGUUGAAUCUCGCCGUCCACAGUCAUCGGUGUUUGUCCAGCGACGUCUAGCACCCUUGUUCAAACGAAAAAUAAAUGCAAAUGAGAAUCAGCGACGUCUAGCACCCAGCAGGUCUUGUCGGCUACACCUUGUGAUGAUGCUGAUAUGUUCUAGCAUGCAAGUUUAUUUCUACAUCAUCCAAUUCAUUCUCUGUAAAAAACUGUAGUUUAUUUCUACAAAAACUGUAGCUUAUCUCUACUAACUUUUUGAUUCAUUCUCUGCAAAAAAGGAACUGUAGCUUAUCUCUGCAAAAAAAACUGUUCUCUUAUCUCUACCAUAUUCUUUUAUUCAGUACAUAUAUAAGCUGUUAGUACUAUUACAUUUGUAUUGUUAGCUGACUGAAAAUUGUUGAUUGUACUAUCUAGUGACUGAACGGCCAAGGCUGAAGCAUUUUCUUUGUUUAGCUGUGUUGGAUGGAUGCCCAGGUGUAGUGUGGAGGCCUUUUUUUGCUUUGGGUCAUUCCUGUCCGUUAGAUGUUGUUUGGAGGGCUGAUGAGAGGGAGCCAGUUACAACGUGACUUGCGGAACACAAGUCACUGGAUCUCAGUCCCCAUCGAAGCGGAAGCGGGCCUUAACAUGGGCAGAAGCAGAGUGGAGGAGGGCCACCAUGAGGAGGGGCGUGACGAGGAGACGCUAGCAUAGCGCCGGCAGGAGGAGCUCGCCGCGCGGAGGUUGUGGCUGAGCCGGAGCUUGCGGAGCCCCCGAUUCGCGACGUCCCCAAGAGGACGCAUGUGCUCCGUAGGGCCAAUACAAGGGAGCCGGUCCGUCGCGCUCAUCCCCCGGAGGUUGAGGGCGAAGGGAAGGAGGAGGACCCCGCAGCUGAUGUUUCCCGGCCGCGGCGAAUGAGGUGGACAGCCGCCACAUGCGUGGAAAGCGCUUAUGGCGAGCCAGUAGGGCGCUCCAGGGCGCCUACUCCGCCACUAGCCCCCGCUCCCCACCAGAAGGGGAUGUGGAUCUUGUCUUCCUUUGGCGCUCCAGGGCGCCUACUCCGCCACCAGCCCCCGCUCCCCACCAGAAGGGGAUGUGGAUCUUGUCUUCCUUCGGCUGGGGGGAAGAGGAUGACGAGUGAGUGCUUGCCCUUUCGAUCCUUGAUUCAUCUUUGCUUGUUUUUUCGUUGAAUCAUGUUGUUGUUGUUGUUGUUGUUCCUGCAGGGACGAGGAGCCCUUGGUUUAGUGGCCGGACAAGAGGGCGAAACCUGCAUCCACCGCGAGGAAGGCGACAAGCUCAGUGCCAGGACGGGAGGUCUUCGCAUCUGGACGGAUGUGCGCAGGGCGGUGGCGCCGUUGGGCGCCGUGGUGGCGUUGACGGAUGUUUGGACUGGCAUGGAAGAUGCGGAUCUCUUUCUUGAAGAUGGGUCAGUGGUUCGAUGAUGAUGACGGCUUGUAAAACGUAUGCGUGAGGUGUGCGUUUUAGGUGUGCUGCAUCGGCUGUUGCUUCCAAUACGUUAUGCGGAUGGAUUAGCGACAACACCGGUCUUAGAUAUGUGGAGUGAGAGCACUCCACAUUAUCGAGUUUGUAGGUGUGAGUGGUGGCUUUGGGUGAAUUGAUGUAUACUCCUGUUAGUCCUUUGUGGAAUAAUUAAUAAAGAUGGCUGCAUGCAUCGAUUGAUGGAGAGGCCGGAGGUUUAACCUCCUUUUCCAAAAAAAGAAAAAAAGGACGGGAGGUCAUAGAUCUCAGUCCAUCGACGAGCCCCUGGCGCGAGGCUACGCCUCCGCAUCCGUCGAUGAAUGUAGGCGCGCACGCCAACGACGCCGCCUCCAUCCCACCGCAGGUGGAGUCCGAGCGCCCGGAGGCAGCUCACGUACGCUCGACCCCGGAGGGGAGCUCUCCGGCAAGGGCUUCUACCGAUGAGCCUGUCCGCACUUAGGGCAUGCUGGCAGACGAUGUCGCCGGUGGCCAAGUGAACGCAACAAAUCUUGCUGGGGGAGAGGAUGCCCCUCCUCAAAAAGAACCCACGAAUCUGCCUCCGCCUGAGGGCACGGGCGCUGGCCCCAGUGUGGAGGAGGUUGCCAAGGAGGCCACCGACGAGGCGAGUCGGAUUGCUGCUGAAGAGGAGGCAGAUCGCAGCGACACCAAGGCAGUCGGCAAGGAACCUGCUGCGAUGCCGUGUGUGGAAGUGUUGACGGACUCCGAGAGCAAUUCCGCUUCAGGACCGCUUGGGGCGGGUGCGUUCAUCAUGACCGGGGCUGCCAGCGGAACAGCCGCUGGGCCGUCAACGUCAAAAGCGCCACCACGAAGCCGAUACAUUAGGGUGGGAGACUUGUAGUCUGUCACCUUCCCUGGAAGUUCUCAAGGCCAUCGACGACACUAUUGCCACCGCCGGAGGGGAGGUGAGAGUCAACCCUCGUGGUGGAAAUGACGAGGCCAAGGAGCACGCGCCAUCCUGUCUUCCCUGGGCGAGGGCUUACGACAGCUGUAGGCGCACUAUGCCAACUUCUCGUAGAAGUUGGACCGUGGAGAAGCCCUCCUCGCCACGGCGGAAGAAAGUUUCCAAGAGCGCCUCGCCGACUCGCAAGACUGGUUCGUCGAGAAGCGCAAGGAGUUCACCGAGGACCGAGAGUACCUCGCUAAGGAUCGAGUCGCCUUCAUAAAGUGGAAGGCCGAGGGCCCGAGGCGGAGAAGAUCCUAAGGCCUUGUUCGGUUGCUUUAAAAUUGGAGAGGUUUGGAGCGGAUUGAAAGGGAUUAAAUCCCUUACAAGUCAAAUUUCAUGUCAAUUCCCUUCAAUCCCUUCCAAUCCCGUUCUUGAUGGGAUUGAUUGACAUGAAAUUUAACUUGUAGAGGAUUUAAUUCCUUUCAAUCCGCUUGAAACCCCUCCAAUUUUAAAGCAACCGAACAAGGAGGACGAGGACUCCUUUGCCAAGUCUGAGGCUGAGUAGAUCACGCGCAAGGUCCAACUUGAAGCCCAUGAAGAGGAACUUGCCGCCCGGGAGGUGGCCCUGAAGGUUGGACCUGAGAGCCGGAUCCGGGAGCUAGAACUGCAGCACGAGGGCGCCCUCGAGGAACAAGCAGUGGAGCACACCGGCAAACUCAAGGAGGCCCGCCGAAGCUGCUCAAUCUGCCAAGGUCGAACUGGAAGGCAAGGUACAUCCGCUGGAACUGGACCUCGCUGCCUCCAAACAGGAGAUCUUGAAGCUUAAGGAUGAUACCCAGAAGGGCACUCCGGCCUUGGCAGACCUGCAAGCGGGACUCACCGACAAGGCCAAGGAGCUGGAGGUUGCCGCGACCACCAAUGCUGGCCUGAGCGCGAGGAGCACCCAUGAAGGCAUCCUGGAGGCCACCCAGAGUAGGGAGCGCAGUUUGCUUGAAGAACUCCAGAAGGAGAAGGAACUGCUUGAUUAUGCCACGGACGUCUCCAACAAACUCCAGGAAAGCGUUGGGUUGUGGACGGAGCAGCUAGUGGACAUCGUCGGCAUGCUUUCCACCCAACUCGUAAAGAUGGGCUUGGAGGAGUGCACCUUCUCCAGCGAUGCUCGGGAGACGGCGAGCGCACGUCUAUCCAUCUUCUUUCGACAGUUCGUCGACGUCUUGGCGGAGUAUGAAGUGGGGAGGGUUGACGAAUUCCUCCAUGGCUGCUGUGAGCUGUGUCGCGAGGCCCUCCACAAGGUCCCGGUGAAGGUCUCCUAUCACAACCCCGACGUUGAUCUGAGCAAAGCCUUCUCCAGAUUUCCGAAGGGUUUCGACACCAGUGAACACGACGACCUUGUUGUCCUGAUCUUUGAUAAUGUUGGCUCUGUAACCCUAAACAAUUAACCUCCUGUUUCUGCAAUGCGUGUACCCAAAACAUUUAUCGCGGGUUAAUGGCACAACUUUGUAUGCACUACAUUUCGUCUGCUUAGGACAAAUGUAUAUUUCCUUUA